rnacentral:rRNA from 1 species
GGCUAAUACCAAAAUACUCCGCACAUAUCACAUGAAUGUAUGCGGGAAAGCUUUUGCGGUAAGAGAUGGGUCGCGGCCCAUUAGGUAGACGGCGGGGUAGAAGCCCCACCCGUGCCGAUGAUGGGUAGCCGGGUUGAGAGACCGACCGGCCACAUUGGGACUGAGAUACGGCCCAGACUCCUACGGGAGGCAGCAGUGGGGAAUAUUGCGCAAUGGGGGAAACCUGACGCAGCAACGCCGCGUGCGGGAUGAAGGCCUUCGGGUUGUAACCGCUUUCAGCAGGGGAAGACAUCGACGGUACCUGCAGAAGAAGCCCCGGCUAACUACGUGCCAGCAGCCGCGGUAAU